rnacentral:rRNA from 1 species
UAUCUUCCCUUUGGCCUGGAAUAACACGAGGAAACUUGUGCUAAUACCGGAUAAGUCUUUACGGAGAAAGCUUUAUGCACCAUUGGAUGAGCCCGCACUUGAUUAGUUAGUUGGUAGGGUAAAAGCCUACCAAGACUUUGAUCAAUAGCUGAUUUGAGAGGAUGAUCAGCCACAUUGGGACUGAGACACGGCCCAAACUCCUACGGGAGGCAGCAGUGGGGAAUCUUGCACAAUGGAGGAAACUCUGAUGCAGCGAUGCCGCGUGAGUGAAGAAGGCCCUUGGGUUGUAAAGCUCUUUCGUCGGGGAAGAAAAUGACUGUACCCGAAUAAGAAGGUCCGGCUAACUUCGUGCCAGCAGCCGCGGUAAUACGAAGGGACCUAGCGU